GGGGUGAUGGUUCAACGGGAGAACGCUGCUCUUGCACAGCAGAGAUCGGGGUUCGAUUCCCCGCCACUCCA
rfam:Chondromyces crocatus strain Cm c5, complete genome.